GCUGGGCUGCCGGGUGCGCUGUGGAACCGCCUCCUGCUAGAGCAGCGGGCUGGCGACGGUCCUCGCCGGGGCGGGAAGCGGCUCAGGCUGCCCUCGCUGGCCUGCGGCGGCGCGGCUGGAAGCGCGGGCCACUCGUGCGUGGGUCACUCAGGACUGCGCCUCGCGCGACUGUGUGUGCAGGAAACAAGCAGGAAAUACCCUAAAAGAGAAUGAAGCGCCAUGUUGAGGGUCGCGGACGUCGCGAGUGCUGUGGGAAUGUGGGCUGAGGUGGAGAGUUAUGGUAGCCCGUGUUACAGGCUCAGGGGUCUGAAAGAAGCCUAAUCGUGGAGGCGGCAUCUGAGGAGGGUCUUGAAGGCUGGGCAGGCAUUUGCCCGACAGAGAUGGAGGAAGCUAGUCCUGUCUGAUGGAGGAAACAGGGCGGAGGCGUGGAGGGAGCCGUGCAGCGCUGGUGUGAGGAGCAGCGAGCAGGCCAGGCCUGUAAAGCAGAGUGAGGGAACCAGGAUAGAGAAGGCAAGUCGGGGUCCUGUGGUCGCUGAAGAAUUUGAAUGAAAUCAGUAAACAGGUGAGAGGGAUCCAUCGCAAGAGCAUGGGAUGAAAGGAGGAGUAGUCCACGGUGAUUCCUCUGCAGCGGUGGGUGUUAUUAAUCGCGUAUGUGACACCAAAACCACCCCACUCAAGCUGUGGCUCUUUCCCUAAAGUAGAAAACCGAGACCAGUUGGGUUCCAAGCAUCCACGAAGAUCUUAUUAAAUUCGUGAUCCCUGGUGGCACCAUGGAGUCAGGAUUGGCUCAUCUCAAACCUGACUCAGAAACAAAACCGUCACAAUGUGCAGAGAUGAGCGUCCUUACCGCUAUCAACGUAUUUUCUGGUGUUUUCACAGUGCUGCGCUUCCUAAUCCCCAUUCCAUGGCAAUCCACAUGCCAUGAUGCCCGGAGUCAUUAACAAAGGAGACACACAGGGGCUCCUCACGUUGGCUUUCCAGGGUUUUGAUGAAAAUCUGUUUCCUCGUCUCAUACAAUGUGGCUGUACAGGAAGCAUGGUGAUGGCAUCUGCAUGGCGCCUGUGGAGGCCCCAGGGAGCUUUUACUCAUGAUGGAAGGCACAGAGGGAGUAGGCACAUCACAUGGUCCGAGGAGGAGCAAGAGAAAAUGGGAGUGGGGGUAAGUACCACACACCCUUACACAACCAGAUCUUGAAAGAAUUCACUAUCACAAGGACGGCAUCAGGCCAUGAGAGAUCCAUCCCCAUGACCCUACCAGGCCCCACCUCCAACACUGAGGAUUACAUUUCAUCAUGAGAUUUAUAGGGGCCACCUUCCAAACCAUUUCAUACACCACGGAAUACUAUGCAGCCAUAAAAAUAACAAAAUCAUGUCCUUUGAAACAACAUGGAUGCAGCCGGAGGCCAUUAUCCUAAGUGAAUUAAUGCAGGAACAUAAAACAAAAUACCACAUGAUCCCACUUAUAAGUGGGAGCUAAACACUGGGUACUCAUGGACAUAAAGAUGGAAAGAAUAAACACCGGGACUACUAGAGGGGAGAA
rnacentral:lncRNA from 10 species